rnacentral:rRNA from 1 species
AUGCUUUCCCAGCUACCCAGCUCUUGUUCUUCCAUCAUGCAUGGCACAACCAGUCCCCAGUUCACCACCCUCAUCAUCAUAUGCAUCGCCUCUUUUUCACAAAUGGUGCAUGCACUAGCACUUCAACCCCAGCUUGUGCAAGCCCAUGAUGGCGGCUGCAUCCCAGCCGAGAGGGCCGCCUUGCUCUCCUUCAAGAAGAGCAUCACAAAUGACGGCGCUCAUGCCCUCACCUCGUGGCACGGGCAGGAUUGCUGCCGGUGGAGGGGCGUCGAUUGCAGCAACCGAACAGGUCAUGUCAUCAAGCUUCACCUUCGUCGCAAUACAGUUCUGAACCCUGAUGACGGCGAUUACUAUGAUGGGUGCGCUUAUGCUAAGUCAUUGUUCGGCGAGAUAAGUCCCUCUCUGCUUUCCUUGAAGGAUCUAGAGCAUAUGGAUCUUAGCAUGAACUGUUUGCUAGGGCCAACCGGUCAUAUUCCUCAAUUCUUGGGUUCCAUGGAGAAUUUGAAAUAUAUUAACCUCUCUGGUAUCCCAUUUACCGGUAGAGUUCCUUCUCACCUUGGUAACCUGUCCAAGUUGCAGCAUCUUGACCUUGGCCAGGUUGAUUAUUCUGGGUUGUCCUCAACGGACAUCACCUGGUUAACAAAGCUACCAUUGCUGCAGCACCUUAGCAUGAGCGGAAUAGAUCUCUCAAUGAUAGCUGACUGGCUUCAUACCUUGAAUAUGAUUCCAUCUCUGAGGGUUAUCAAUAUUGCUGCAUGCUCACUUGAUACUGCAAGCCAAACGCUUCCCUACCUUAACCUCACGAAACUUGAGAAGCUUGAUCUUUCUUAUAAUAAUUUGGACCACUCAAUUUCAUCAAGUUGGUUUUGGAAAGUAACAAGCCUCAAAUACCUCAGUCUUCGUCAGAAUCAGUUAUUUGGAAAGUUUCCGGACGCACUAGGAAAUAUGACGUCACUCAAGGUACUUGAUUUGUCAGACAACAAUCUGAAUAAGACUGGAAACCUUAAAAAUCUUCUUAUUAAUCUUUGCCAUUUGGAAAUACUCGACCUCUCAUAUAAUUCUAUGAAUGGAGAUAUAGUGGUGUUGAUGGAAGGGUUGCAAUGUCCACCGGAAAAAUUGCAAGAGCUGCAUUUCAGUGAAAACAAAUUCAUGGGGACCCUGCCGAAUGUUGUAGGGGAAUUCAGCAGCUUGAACAUACUUGACAUGUGCAACAACAACCUUGUUGGACUUAUACCACUAGGGCUUUGGAAUUUGGUGCGUUUAACUUACCUUGAUCUCAGCAUGAAUCAGCUCAAUGGGAAUGUACCAACUGAAAUUGGUGCUCUUACUGCUCUAACUUAUUUGGUCAUAUUUAGCAACAACUUGACCGGAAGUAUACCAGCCGAGCUUGGAAAACUGAAGCAUUUGACUAUCCUUUCUCUCAAAGACAACAAAAUUACUGGACCUAUACCACCAGAAGUUACGCAUUUAACUAGCUUAACCACCCUAGACCUCUCCAGUAAUCACCUCAAUGGAAGUGUACCCAAUGAAUUAGGUUACCUGAAGAAUAUGGUUGGACUGGAUCUAAGCAACAACAACCUUAGUGGUGUGAUCACAGAAGAACACUUUGCAAACCUGAAAAGUUUAAAGGGCAUAGACUUGUCUUCCAAUAGUUUAAGGAUUGUUGUGGAUUCAGAUUGGCAUUCUCCCUUUUCGCUACAGUUUGCAGAUUUCGCAUCUUGUCAAAUCGGUCCUCUCUUUCCAGCCUGGCUUCAGCAGCUGCGGGGAAUCACUCAUCUUGACAUCUCAAGCACCGGUUUAGUGGACAAGUUCCCUGGUUGGUUUUGGUAUACAUUUUCACAGGCAACAUAUCUCAAUAUGUCUAACAACCAAAUAAGUGGCAGCUUGCCAGCACAUCUGGAUAGCAUGGCUUUGGAGGAACUCUACCUGAGUUCAAACCGGCUCACUGGGUCAAUACCUUCGUUGCUGACAAAUAUCACUAUUUUAGACAUCUCCAAGAAUAACUUUUCAGGAGUAAUACCAUCAAAUUUUGAAGCACCCUGGCUUCAAGUAUUGAUUAUCUAUUCAAACCGAAUUGGUGGGUACAUUCCAGAAUCUCUUUGCAAAUUGCAAAAGCUAGUUUAUGUGGAUUUGUCGAACAAUUCUUUGGAGGGUGAAAUUCCUCUUUGUUUUCCCAUCCAAAAAACACAAUUUCUACUGCUCAGUAACAACAGUUUAUCAGGAAAAUUGCCAACAUCUUUGCAGAAUAACACAGCUAUUAAGUUCUUGGACCUUUCAUGGAACAAGUUGUCUGGAAGACUGCCUUCAUGGAUAGGAGAUCUGGGGAACUUGUGUUUUUUACUACUGAGCCACAAUACAUUUUCUGGUAAUAUUCCAAUUAAUAUAACAAGCCUUGGGCAUCUUCAGUACUUGGAUCUAUCAUGCAACAAUUUCUCUGGUGCAAUACCUGGGCAUCUAUCAAACCUAACACUCAUGAAAAUAGUACAAACGGAAUUCAUGUAUAUGGAUGAUGUACAUGAUUCGGGAGACAAUUCCCUGGAGAUGGGGGUUGGUCACCUCGGAGAAAUAUUGUCAGUAGUUACGAAAGGACAGCAACUUCUAUAUGGUACAACACUUGCAUAUUUUGUGAGCAUUGAUUUAUCAGGUAACUCUUUGACCGGUGAAAUCCCUACUGACAUCACUUCCCUUGUUGCACUGAUGAAUUUGAAUUUAUCCUCGAACAAAUUGAGUGGGCAAAUUCCAAACAUGAUUGGGGCCAUGCAGUCACUAGUAUCUCUUGACCUCUCUGGAAACAAGCUCUCCGGUGGAAUCCCGUCGAGCUUGUCAAGUCUAAAAUCUUUGGAGGCCUUGAACCUGUCCUACAACAAUUUAUCUGGGAGGAUACCCUCUGGCCGCCAACUUGACACUCUCAGUUCGGACAACCCAUCAAUUAUGUACAUUGGCAACAGUGGACUUUGUGGGCCUCCUCUCCACAAAAAUUGUUCUGGAAAUGGUACUUCUAACCAUGGUGAUCUCGGAAGCAGCAAGCAAGAGUUUGAUCCACGGACCUUUCAUUUUGGUCUUGUGCUGGGAUUUGUGGCAGGGCUCUGGAUAGUGUUUUGUGCAUUAUUGUUCAAGAGGACAUGGAGAAUUGCUUUCUUCUGA